rnacentral:rRNA from 1 species
AGAUGGAAUUUGGUGCCUUCGGGAACUUCUGACACAGGUGCUGCAUGGCUGUCGUCAGCUCGUGUCGUGAGAUUGUUGGUUAAGUCCGUAACGAGCGCAACCCUUGUCCUUAGUUUACCAGCACGUUAUGGUGGGCACUCUAAGGAGACUGCCGGUGACAAACCGGAGGAAGGUGGGGAUGACGUCAAGUCAUCAUGGCCCUUACGGCCUGGGCUACACACGUGCUACAAUGGUCGGUACAAAGGGUUGCCAAGCCGCGAGGUGGAGCUAAUCCCAUAAAACCGAUCGUAGUCCGGAUCGCAGUCUGCAACUCGACUGCGUGAAGUCGGAAUCGCUAGUAAUCGUGAAUCAGAAUGUCACGGUGAAUACGUUCCCGGGCCUU